GAGGUGUGGUCAUGGGGUGCAGGUCUGUGUAGGCUGAGGAGCUUGUUCCCCGAGUGAGGGUCUGUGAAGGGUGAGGGCGUGUUCCUGGGGUGGGGGUGUUUGUGAAGGAUGAGAGUUUUUCUGGCAUGAGGGGCUGGUGAAGGGUGAGGGGCGUUUUCCCGGCUUGAGGGUCUGUGAAGAGUGAGAGCCGUGUUGCCGCUGGUGCAGCCCUGCGUUUUCCCCACUUGUACUGCCAGAAAGCUGAGUGGUGGCAGUCACUUUUGGAGUCUUCCUGAGACGAUCCACCAAUAUGAAGUAAACUCGAGGAGGUUUUUCAGUGUCCACACUCAGGGUUAUUUCCCAGCGGAAGCAGGGGAAAAUGCCAUGGGUCAUUGCUCUGCCAGGGCCUCCCUGCACAGAUUCUUAGGUCAAGACAAAGCAUAAACAAUCAACUCCAACAGAAAAAUCUGAAGAACAAUUACAAGGAGUAACUCAGGAGAUUUUCCCAAGAGGCAAUCCAGAGGAGUUUGAGUUUCGAUCAGCUUGCAGGAUUGAGACAGGAGCAGAAUAUUGCUGGAAAAAAUUCACAAUAAAGACCGGGAUGGCCGUGCGCGGUGGCUCACGCCUGUAAUCCCAGCACUUUGGGAGGCUGAGGUGGGCAGAUCAUGAGGUCAGGAGAUUGAGACCAUCCUGGUUAACACCAUGAAACCCCGUCUCUACUAAAAAUACAAAAAAUUAGCUGGGCGUGGUGGCGGGCGCCUGUAGUUCCAGCUACUCAGGAGACUGAGGCAGGAGAAUAGCCAGAACCCGGGAGGCGGAGCUUGCAGUGAGCCGAGACUGCGCCACUGUACUCCAGCCUGCAGCCUGGGCGACACAGCAAGACUCCGUCUCAAAAAACAAACAAAAAAACCCAGGAUGAAGUUAUUUCCCCAAAAGAGAGGUUCGAGGCAAGUGGUCAGCUCCCACUUGAAAAUCAAUGCAGCAGACAAAUACCAGGAAUGUAAUAAAUUGGAGAAAAGUUUGUCUCUGGGCACAAAACCUGUUGUACGUCUGAGGGACAGGCCAGAAGAGAGAGCCAGUAGCUGGAGGAUGGGUGGCUGAGGCUUUCCCUGUGAGUCAUGUCUGAGUGGACAUCAAGCAGUUACCAGUGGGUCAAAGCCCCAUGGAUGUCAUGUGUGUGGGAAGUCUUUCAGCAAGAACUCACACCUUACUUGGCAUCAGAUAAUUCAUACUACAGAGAAGCCUUGUGUAUGUAUUGAAUGUGGGGAAAAAAUCACAACUCAAGCCUUAUACAACAUCAGAAAAUUCACUGUGGAUGGUGAAACCCUAUCUCUACUAAAAAUACAAAAAUUAUCUGGGUGUGGUGGUGCAUGCCCAUAAUCCCAGCUACUCAGGAGGCUGAAGCAGAAGAAUUGCUUGAACUAGGGAGGCGGAGGUUGCAGUGAGCUGAGAUUGCGGCACUGCACUCCAGCCUGCGUGACAGAGUGAGAUUCCGUCUAAAAAAAAAAAAAGGCCAGGCGCGGUGGCUCACGCCUGUAAUCCCAGCACUUUGGGUGGCUGAGGCGGGCAGAUCACAAGGUCAGGAGAUUGAGACUAUCCUGGCGAACACGGUGAAACCCCUUCUCUACUAAAAAUACAAAAAUAAAUUAGCCAGGCAUGGUGGCGGGCGCCUGUAGUCCCAGCUACUUGGGAGGCUGAGGCAGGAGAAUGGCGUGAACCUGGGAGGCGGAGCUUGCAGUGAGCAGAGAUCACGCCACUGCACUCCAGCCUGGGAGACAGUGAGACUCCAUCUCAAAAAAAAAAAAA
rnacentral:lncRNA from 1 species